rnacentral:rRNA from 1 species
CCACAUGACUCUCGGCAACGGAUAUCUCGGCUCUCGCAUCGAUGAAGAACGUAGCGAAAUGCGAUACCUGGUGUGAAUUGCAGAAUCCCGCGAACCAUCGAGUCUUUGAACGCAAGUUGCGCCCGAAGCCACCCGGCUGAGGGCACGCCUGCCUGGGCGUCACGC